rnacentral:tRNA from 1 species
UCCCUGAUGAUCUAGUGGUCAGGAUUCGGUGUUCUCACCGCUGCGGCCCAGGUUCGAUUACCGUUCAGGGAA